GGCGGCGUGCCUAACACAUGCAAGUCGAGCGGGGACAUGCGACGGAUAGGAAGUUUCGGAUGGACUUGAAGAUGCAUUGUUCUAGCGGCGGACGGGUGAGUAACGCGUGAGCAACCUGUCCCUUACAGGGGAUAACACAGCGAAAGUUGUACUAAUACCGCAUGAGACCACGGGAGGACAUCCUCCAGGGGUCAAAGGAGGAAUCCGGUAAGGGGUGGGCUCGCGUCCGAUUAGAUAGUUGGUGAGGUAACGGCCCACCAAGUCGACGAUCGGUAGCCGACCUGAGAGGGUGAUCGGCCACAUUGGGACUGAGACACGGCCCAAACUCCUACGGGAGGCAGCAGUGGGGAAUAUUGGGCAAAUGGGGGAAACCCUGACCCAGCAACGCCGCGUGAGGGAAGAAGGUUUUCGGAUCGUAAACCUCUGUCCUUGGUGAAGAGGAAGAGACGGUAGCCAAGGAGGAAGCCCCGGCUAACUACGUGCCAGCCGCCGC
rnacentral:rRNA from 1 species